rnacentral:lncRNA from 1 species
CACCAAGACUCUGGCAGUGGAAUUGGCACCAAAGAACAUCCGGGUGAAUGGCCUAGUACCAGGAAUCAUGGAAACAGAGUUCAGCAAAGUGGUAAGAUCACUGAAGACAAGGUCUUUAUGGAACAUAUCACCCAGUUCUACAGAAUACAGAGACUGGGACAGCCUGAGGACUGUGCUGGACUUGUGUCCUUCCUGUGCUCCCCAGACUCCAGCUUCCUCACUGGUGAGAACAUUGCAGUGGCCGGCUUGUCCCCCCAUAUCUGAGGGGCUUCUCCAUGCAGGAGCCCCAUGUGCCUGUCUUCCAAGUGUGUACACUUUAAUUGAAACACUUCUCUGACAGAAAUAAUAAAG